rnacentral:tRNA from 1 species
GGUUUUAUAAUUUAUGCAUUAAAAUAUUAAAUUGCAAAUUUAAAUAAAGAAUAAUUCUUAAAACCU